rnacentral:rRNA from 1 species
ACUCCUACGGGAGGCAGCAGUGGGGAAUAUUGCACAAUGGGCGCAAGCCUGAUGCAGCAACGCCGUGUGAGUGAAGAAGGUUUUCGGAUCGUAAAACUCUGUCCUAAGGGAAGAAACAAAUGACGGUACCUUAGGAGGAAGCCCCGGCUAACUACGUGCCAGCAGCCGCGGUAAUACGUAGGGGGCAAGCGUUAUCCGGAAUCACUGGGCGUAAAGGGUGCGUAGGCGGCUUAGCAAGCCAGGGGUGAAAGGCAUUGGCUCAACCAAUGUAAGCCUUUGGAACUGUUAGGCUUGAGUGCAGGAGAGGUAAGUGGAAUUCCUAGUGUAGAGGUGAAAUUCGUAGAUAUUAGGAGGAACACCAGUGGCGAAGGCGACUUACUGGACUGUAACUGACGCUGAUGCACGAAAGCGUGGGUAGCGAACAGGAUUAGAUACCCUUGUAGCACAGAG